AUGGAGGAGGAGCACCCACCUGUUCGUCAGCGCGGCCCGCCUCCGCCGCCGCAUGGAGGCACCCAUUCCGGAGACGGAAUCGAUCACCUCAGUGCUCUACCCGACGAGGUACUCCACCUCAUCCUUUCCCGCCUCGAUCACCACCGUGAUGCCGUCCGCACCAGCAUCCUCUCCGGCCGGUGGCGUGCGCUGAUGAGCGGCCUCAGCAUGGCAAGGUUCAGUAUACAGCAGAUAAAGAUCAAGUCUGUUCGAAGGGCGAUCCGUGCGCUCGGAUUGGUACUCGGCGCGCUUGGGGCGCAGCGCCGCGCGUUCGGAGGAUUACGAGUACUCGAGAUCUGUGUUCCUUAUGGAAGGCGUAUCUACGCCAAGGACGUCUCGAAGGUCCUCUUUGCCGCCGCGGAGGUCUCGCCAGUGGAGGAGUUCCGUUUCAUCCUCCCGUGGAACGUAGAUCCGGAAUCCGAUAGCCCUGUGGUUCUCCCUGGCUUCCACCGCGCCAUCUCAGUCCAUCUUGACGUGUCUUACCUUCUUGUUGAGAAUCUGGCUGGGAGCUUCCCCGUGCUCGAGCGAUUGACGCUCAAGGGCUUCUGGCUUGAUAUUUACACCUUGGUCAGCCUUUGCCCUCGUCUGCGUGUGCUCAGGAUCAUAUCACUUGAUCGCGGCAGCAUCGUCAUUCAAUCAGCGACCCUGCAGGAACUCCAUAUUGAGAACGCUGAGGAAUGUUAUGUGACAGAGAACAUUGAUAUCACAGCCCCCGCACUGAAGCAUUUAACCCUUUCCGUCUUCACCAACCAGAACUGCUGCAGCUUGUCCAUCUCCGCUCCAAUGGUGGAGCAGAUCUCGUGGGAGUGCAAGUACAGCAACAUGGCAAUUGGGAUUCGUGAACUGUGGCAACUCACGAGCCUGAGCUUAAAGACAGGGGAGGGUGCCAUCACCAAUGAUGUGGAUGGCACUUGUCUGUCGCUGCAUAUAUCUGCCUACAAUACUUCACGUGCAAAUGAAGCAGAACACGCGUUUGAGGGGGAGAUACAAAACCUACCAGUUGGUGACCUGUGUACUUUGGAGCUGCAUCUUUCCCUUGGGCAGACGGGGCAUGCCUGGAGAUCCAUUGUGCUGCAUAUACUUGGCAUACAGUUUAUUCGUAUUGCUACCCAAAGGCUUAAGCUUGUUCUACGGAGGUCUGAGGUGGAAGGAGCUUGCACAGCAGAUUGUCCAUGCCAUGAGCCUAUGCAAAUUCCCUCCUUAGUCAAUCUUCAAGAAGUGGAAAUCAAAGGCUUUAGAGGAGAUGGCUACGAGUUCGAGUUCUUGCAAAUGGUAUCCGGGGCUGCACCAUUACUUGAAAAAACGACGACCAUCAGGUCUGCAGGGAACUAG
rnacentral:rRNA from 1 species